rnacentral:lncRNA from 1 species
CCUGCUUCUAGGACCACAGGGUGUACACACACAACCACUUUUUGUAAUACAAUUUACUUUGGGGGUGGGGGUAGAGGGUGGGCAGCACUAGAACUGCUGAUUAUCUGAGAUUAUUACUAAUCGGGGUGACUAGGACGAAAGGAUCCUCCAGCUGCUACUCCUCCACUGACCUCGUGCAGGUGAGAGGAUUCAGGCCUGAGAACAGUUCCUGGGAAGGGAUUCUAUCCCCUAAAGCAACCAGGGACCCAAGAAAGGGUUAACUUUGAGCCCCACAGUGACUUCAAUCAUUGGCUCUGGGCACUGUCAGUCAGCGUUCUGGGGGCGGGGCUUACGGGGCCGCCCUAGGACUGCCCAGCGCCCCUCGCUUGCCCUCGACCCCCCACUUCAUUUCACUUCUGGGCUGCCGCCACACCCCCAUCACGGUGGAGACACCUUCCGGGGCCCUGGAGGAGGAGCAGAUCUGGGCAUCCUGGCUUCCCCACUCAUUCCAGCUGCCUGGCUUCCUGAUAGAUGUUCUGUAUUACAGAAGCCCUGGAACUGAGCAGGCCACAACAAGAUUUCCAACAACAGAUUAU